rnacentral:rRNA from 1 species
AAACUCAAAUGAAUUGACGGGGGCCCGCACAAGCGUGGAGCAUGUGGUUUAAUUCGACGCAACGCGCAGAACCUUACCAGCCCUUGACAUGUCCAGGACCGGUCGCAGAGAUGUGACCUUCUCUUCGGAGCCUGGAGCACAGGUGCUGCAUGGCUGUCGUCAGCUCGUGUCGUGAGAUGUUGGGUUAAGUCCCGCAACGAGCGCAACCCCCGUCCUUAGUUGCUACCAUUUAGUUGAGCACUCUAAGGAGACUGCCGGUGAUAAGCCGCGAGGAAGGUGGGGAUGACGUCAAGUCCUCAUGGCCCUUACGGGCUGGGCUACACACGUGCUACAAUGGCGGUGACAAUGGGAUGCAAAGGCGCGAGCCCUAGCAAAUCUCAAAAAGCCGUCUCAGUUCGGAUUGGGCUCUGCAACUCGAGCCCAUGAAGUUGGAAUCGCUAGUAAUCGUGGAUCAGCAUGCCACGGUGAAUACGUUCCCGGGCCUUGUACACACCGCCCGU